AAAAAACAGUUUACACACGCACACAAAUGAACUGGUGUGGCUGUAACAAUUAUGGUAACAUUGAGCCAAAAGACUUUAAAAAGAGGUUGAAAUCAGAUCUGAUUCUGGCCCAGAUUAAUUGAUGUGUAACCCGGGUAACCUAAGAAAAGGUAAACAAAUUCUAGAAGAAAAAGAGAUUCAUCCAAUCACUGAUUCGUGCUGCAAUGAGAGACACCCCUAAGAGCCAAUAGUAGCGGCGCAUUCAUAAGUCCCGCCGGCGCUGCUAUGGCUCUGCUUUCAGCGUGAGCAGAUGAGAGCGAGUCAGAGCAGAUCAGCACAGAGCAGAGUUUUUCCAGAAAAUGUGAAUGAGUGCACUGAAAGUGGAGCUUUUGAACUCGAUGCGUCAGCCUGAAGUGAUGUCGUCGGACACAGAGAAGAAAGAGAGACGGAGCGGAUCCCAGAGUGUUGAAGCACUACCUAAAGGAAAAGGACAGUGAUUCCCAAACCACAGAGAAAUUAAUGACUGUUGAUGAGUAUCAAGCACAACCUCAACAGAGACUCAGAAGAGGCUGAAAAAAUGGAGGAAAACGAAAAAUUGAGAAAUGAUGACAAAAAAAGCUACCAAAUCUGAUAAAUGAAGUGAAGAUGGCCCUGAAGUCUCUGUUUGUCAGCAUCAGUCACAUAACUUGGAAGAUGGGACAGGAUUUGCCACAGAGUAAUUACAGAGCCCUUCCAACAGAACAGGAGCAACGUUGCAGAAAGUGUCCUCAUGUGGUGCCCACCAGCAUUGGUACAGCAAUGGACUAUAUGCACGGGUUACUUCCUGGUUGUCGUUAAGCCAGCUCGAGCACUUCCGGUGAACUGUUAGCUGUUCAUUCUGUAGUCGUUGUACAUCGACACAAAACCAUCUAUGGUUGA